AGCUUGGUCAUCGGUUAAACGUGUGUCUUUGCCAAAAUUUAAACCUUCAUGACACACACCCGGUUUGAUGGAGAGGAAUGGUUUUGGAAUAAAACUUUGUUUUGUGCAAAGAAAGCACUUUGCUUAUAGUGGAUAAAUGAGUCAGGCACAACCUUUUAGUAGAAGCAGAACGCAUUAAGUUUAUGUAGAUAGUGAUGCUGUCCCUGUUGCUUAUAGUGGAUAAAUGAGUCAGACACAACCUUUUAGUAGAAGCAGGACGCAUAAACAGGUAAAGAACUUGUCGAAUGUCGAAUAUGUCUGUCCCUGUUGCUCCAGCUUCUCCUCAUUUCCUCAAGUGGAGCUUUGCCGUGCAUGCCCUAAUAAAGAGAAUCUCUGUCCUGUCCGUUUUGAAAAGAAAAAAAUAUUUGUCCUAUAAAAGCAUCUACAGCCAGACUGGACAAAUCCGGCUGUAUAUACGUCCCUCGUACUUUGCUCUCUGCAUCCACAUCUCAUAUUCAAACUUUUAAAUCCAUGCAAAAUCUUCAAAUCCAUGCAAAAUCUUGUACACAAAACCAAGC
rnacentral:lncRNA from 1 species